rnacentral:piRNA from 1 species
UAGGUAAAUUGGUGUGUUAAGCCUUUAAC